ensembl:lncRNA
CUGGAGUCAUCUUUGUUAAAACCAGCAGCAGUUUAAUAUUUUUAACUAUGCUUUGAAAGUGUUUUCUUCAAAUGGGAAUUUAGAGUUGAAACGUGUUGUAUUCAGCAGCCAGAGGCUAAAUCCUGCCCUUCACUAACUUUAAUACAUUUUGACCUGCCAGGUUGUAGCUGUGGUCCGGUGCACAGAAGAGUGCACCUCUGCUGCAUUUGCAAUAAAAAGCUGACCAACGCAGAAUGAAACUUAAAGGGAAGUUGGUGCCGGAGACAAAGAGAAACCUGUGCAUGGAUCUUCUCUCUUGAUUUGUUGCAGGGAGGCUGCAGGGAGUCACUGAGCUCAAAGGAGUGUGUAGCUACGGCACAACAAGCAGUUUCUUUGAGCCGAAUAUAAAAGUGACGGAGCUUUAUGUGCAGUUCACCAUGGAUAAGCUGGUCUCCGAACUUUUCGGCCUCUGCCCAACCAUCAUCGAGAUGUAUGACAAUAUGAAGGACAAUGACGAACGCUGCAGGCGGAUUGCUGACAGGGUCAGAGCUUUGGAGGGACUGGUUUUAACCGUCAAAGAAAGGGGAUCAGGCAGAAACUCUGGCGCUGUGGAGAAAGCGCUGAAGGAACUCCACACCAUCUUGAAACAUGCUGAGAAACUGGUGUCAAAAUUCUCAAAAAAUAAUCGGCUUAAGCAGUUCAUGAUGUCAGGCAGCAUUGGAGCAAAGUUCAGCGAGGUGAACCAAAGACUCACUGAGAACUUCCAGAUGCUUUCUGGAGCUCUGCAGGUUGAGCAGAGCGACAUACUGCACAAGGUGUAUGAAACUGUUUUAGGGCGCCCCUACACACCGCUGCCUAACCCCCCAUGUCCUACGUUUUCCCCAGCAGCACCGCCUAUCCCCUCUCCUCCCGUGCCUGCCGCCUACAUCAUGGCACCCAUGCGGGCUUCGACGCCUGUUCUGGCCCAGCCUUUCUGCAAAACUACAACAGUUCGCGUUCUUGUCUCCAAUAACAUGCCCCCGAUGCCCGUCAUUAGGACCAUCAGCCCUGUUUCUGUCGUCAGAACUGUUUCACCGAUGGGUUUUCGGCUCUACUAGUUUGGCCAGUCGCUUUGCAUGAUUUGUGAUCAAUAAUAAUCCCUAUUUAAUCCUCAUGGGCCUUCAUUCCUCCUGGAAGGUCUUCUUGACUGGGAAGCUGUGAAGGUAACUUUCAUUCUCGAGAAAUUCUUUUGUAAAAGAAAUACUACUUUUUUUCACGAUUAAAUAGAUUUGAGAGGGAUUCAAAAACAAACAAUUUUAAUAAAGUUUUGUGAAACAAUGAAAUUAUUCCUUGCUGAAAUGAGUGCACACAUAUUUAUUCUCUUUCACAUUGUUAUGUAAUUUGUGUCCUCUUGUCCUAGUGCUAAAUGAAUCUCUAAUAAAUCAAGGAGCCUAUGUGUGUCUGUGUGGUUUUCAUCUAAUUUAACAAUCGUUCAUCUGAUCUGCUUCAAACUGUGCAGUCUGAGGAUGCAGCGUGGUGAUCAACAGUCAUGUCAUGGUCCUGCGGCCAUGACUCAGUGACUUUGUGUUUAUGUUCUUUAUUGUUAUUAUUCUCUUUAUUAUUCUUGGGCUGUUUUGGGAUGGUUUGUGUUUUGGGAUUUUAGAUACUGGGUUUUGGGUUUGUGCUCCCUCUGUUGGUCCCUGGUGUUAGUGUUCCCCUGUCUCGUCAGGUUAAUCAGGUCCAGCUGUUUCCCCCACCUGUGUGUGAUUUCCCAGUGUCUCUUUGUGUACUUAUAGUGUGUGUUUUCCUCUGCUCCUCGUCGCGUCGUCUGUGUUCAUACCCUGUGAAAUCCCCUGCGUGCUCUCCCUGCUGUUCUCCCUUCAUGUUCAGGUUUGCCACUCCUUUGUGUAGUUUCACCCAGUUUAGUUCAUCCUUAGUUCUGUUUUGCC